CAGCAGUGGGGAAUAUUGCGCAAUGGGCGAAAGCCUGACGCAGCGACGCCGCGUGGGGGAUGACGGCCUUCGGGUUGUAAACCUCUUUCAGCAGGGACGAAGUUGACGUGUACCUGCAGAAGAAGCGCCGGCUAACUACGUGCCAGCAGCCGCGGUAAUACGUAGGGCGCAAGCGUUGUCCGGAAUUAUUGGGCGUAAAGAGCUCGUAGGUGGCUUGUCACGUCGGGUGUGAAAGCUUGGGGCUUAACUCCAGGUCUGCAUUCGAUACGGGCUGGCUAGAGGUAGGUAGGGGAGAACGGAAUUCCUGGUGUAGCGGUGAAAUGCGCAGAUAUCAGGGGGAACACCGGUGGCGAAGGCGGUUCUCUGGGCCUUACCUGACGCUGAGGAGCGAAAGCGUGGGGAGCGAACAGGAUUAGAUACCCUGGUAGUCCACGCUGUAAACGUUGGGCGCUAGGUGUGGGGACCUUCCACGGUUUCCGCGCCGUAGCUAACGCAUUAAGCGCCCCGCCUGGGGAGUACGGCCGCAAGGCUAAAACUCAAAGAAUUGACGGGGGCCCGCACAAGCGGCGGAGCAUGUUGCUUAAUUCGACGCAACGCGAAGAACCUUACCAAGGCUUGACAUUGCCCGGAAACACUCAGAGAUGGGUGCCUCUUCGGAUCGGGUGACAGGUGGUGCAUGGCUGUCGUCAGCUCGUGUCGUGAGAUGUUGGGUUAAGUCCCGCAACGAGCGCAACCCUUGUUCAAUGUUGCCAGCACGCUCCUUCGGGGGUGGUGGGGACUCAUUGGAGACUGCCGGGGUCAACUCGGAGGAAGGUGGGGAUGACGUCAAGUCAUCACGCCCCUUAUGUCUUGGGCUGCAAACAUGCUACAAUGGCCGGUACAGAGGGCUGCGAUACCGCAAGGUGGAGCGAAUCCCUAAAAGCCGGUCUCAGUUCGGAUUGGGGUCUGCAACUCGACCCCAUGAAGUCGGAGUCGCUAGUAAUCGCAGAUCAGCAACGCUGCGGUGAAUACGUUCCCGGGCCUUGUACACACCGCCCGUCACGUCACGAAAGUCGGCAACACCCGAAGCCCGUGGCCCAACCAGCUUGCUGGAGGGAGCGGUCGAAGGUGGGGCUGGCGAUUGGGACGAAGUCGAAACAAGGUAGCCGUACCGGAUGGUGCGGCUG
rnacentral:rRNA from 1 species